GACGAACGCUGGCGGCAGGCUUAACACAUGCAAGUCGAACGCCCCGCAAGGGGAGUGGCAGACGGGUGAGUAACGCGUGGGAACAUACCCUUUCCUGCGGAAUAGCUCCGGGAAACUGGAAUUAAUACCGCAUACGCCCUACGGGGGAAAGAUUUAUCGGGGAAGGAUUGGCCCGCGUUGGAUUAGCUAGUUGGUGGGGUAAAGGCCUACCAAGGCGACGAUCCAUAGCUGGUCUGAGAGGAUGAUCAGCCACAUUGGGGCUGAGACACGGCCCAAACUCCUACGGGAGGCAGCAGUGGGGAAUAUUGGACAAUGGGCGCAAGCCUGAUCCAGCCAUGCCGCGUGAGUGAUGAAGGCCUUAGGGUUGUAAAGCUCUUUCACCGAUGAAGAUAAUGACGGUAGUCGGAGAAGAAGCCCCGGCUAACUUCGUGCCAGCCGCCGCCGUAACAC
rnacentral:rRNA from 1 species